rnacentral:lncRNA from 1 species
UUGCACCAGUGGCUUCCCCGAGGCUCUCAGGCCCCCGGCCUCAGACUGAAGACUGCACUGCGGGCUUUCCUGGUUUUGAGGCUUUUGGACUUGGACUGAGCCACUACUAGCUUCUCUCUUUCCCUACCUGGCAGACAGCCUGUUGUGGGACUGCCUUCUAACCGUGUGAACCAAUUCUCUCUGGGAGCUUAUAGCUUCAUUGCACUGUGUGUGGCAUUUGGGUCCUGUUUGACAGCAAUGACUGCCUUUCUGUUUAGUGUCUGUGUGCUAUGAAGAUUGCACACAGGGGUCCAGAUGCAUCCUGUUUUGAGAAUGUUAAUGGAUACACCAGCUGCUGCUUUGGAUUUCACCCAUUGGUGGUAGUGGACCCGCUGUUUGGAAUGCAGACAAUUUAAGUGAAGACAUAUCCAUAUAUGUGGCUCUGUUACAAUGGUGAAAUCUACAACCAUAAGAAGCCAAAAAUGUGAGUAUGACAUACAAAGAGAAAUACAUCAAGGACUUUUCAUCCUCAUAGUUUGCCAGUGAUGCUGGAGAGUGUCAGAAUUGGUGCAGCACCAGUUUGAAUUUGAAUACCAGACCAAAGUGGAUGGUGAGAUAAUCCUUCAUCUUUAUGACAAAGGAGGAAUUGAGCAAACAAUUUGUACGUUGGUUGGUGUGUUUGCAUUUGUUUUACUGGAUUCUGCCAAUAAGAAAGUGUCCCUGGACAGAGAUACAUAAGGAGUCAGACCUUUGUUUAAAGCAGUGACAGAAGAUGGAUUUUUGGCUGUGCGUUCAGAAGCUAAAGCUCUGCGACUGUGGUGCCUGCAGCCAUUGGAACCAGCUCUGCACGGCUCAGACCUGGGUGAUGAGGACACAGCUUUGCAGGUGGGCAGCCACAUCCCCAGGGGGAGACUGUGGGCCUGUGGCAGGGUAGGGGCAACCAGUGCAGGGGCUCCCCAUUGUUGCCCCUGAGCUCCUGGGGCUUGUGGAGAAAGACAG